rnacentral:rRNA from 1 species
AUUGAACGCUGGCGGCAUGCCUUACACAUGCAAGUCGAACGGCAGCACGGGGCAACCUGGUGGCGAGUGGCGAACGGGUGAGUAAUGCAUCGGAACGUACCUUUCAGUGGGGGAUAACGUAGCGAAAGUUACGCUAAUACCGCAUAUUCUGUGAGCAGGAAAGCAGGGGAUCGCAAGACCUUGCGCUGAUUGAGCGGCCGAGGUCAGAUUAGCUAGCUGGUGAGGUAAAGGCUCACCAAGGCGACGAUCUGUAGCGGGUCUGAGAGGAUGAGGCGCCACACUGGAACUGAGACACGGUCCAGACUCCUACGGGAGGCAGCUGUGGGGAAUUUUGGACAAGGGGGGCAACCCUGAUCCAGCCAUGCCGCGUGAGUGAAGAAGGCCUUCGGGUUGUAAAGCUCUUUCGGCCGGGAAGAAAUCGCACGGGCUAAUACCCUGUGUGGAUGACGGUACCGGAAUAAGAAGCACCGGCUAACUACGUGCCAGCCGCCGCUGUAACAC